CACAAAGGGAAAAUAUAUCCAGUUUUAAUUUUGAAAGCCAAAAAUUUUGGCAGAUCAAGAAAACAAACUGACACUACGUAUGCUGACAACUACCUUUUUCAAAAACUGUCUGUAUGAGUAGGCCAGGUAAUUAAUUCAUGAUGCUGAACUCAACCCCUUCUGUCUUGAGGAUGAAGGUGGGAAGGAGUGAAACAAACCCAUAGCCAUCCACACACCCACCUUUUCGUGGACAACAUGGGUUUAGGUGCCUGGCUCCCACCAUCCCUGUUCCAUACUCUCUGCAGCGGGUGAUGAUGACCUUUGCUUCAGCAUGUGCACGAAAGAGAAUUCCACAGGCACAAUGAAAAGUUGCUAAUCAAAACAAGAUUGUGAAUUGAGAAAAUAAGAUUGUCACAAGCAUUGCCUAACUCAUUUCUGAUCCAAAGGAAAAAAGAAUCCUCAGUUUUAUGUUCAGAUGAUCACAUAAAAUGAAGGCUGGAGCAUGGUCUCACUGAAGGACACUGGAAGGAGGGUGCUGAGAGUGAACAGUAGAGAGGCACAGAGAACUCUGAAGUACUGCAACCACUUUUUGUCAUGAUAGUAUUGGAGAGAGAAUAUCCAUUCUUGGGUUUACAGUCACACUGUGUUCAUUCAGACAUUGUCUGUGGACUGCUCAAGGAGCCUUGUCUCUGCUUGGAAACCUGAACCCUUGAAGGAGGAGUUUUCCAACUUCCACAGCAGCCAAGCAUUGCAAAUCACUUAUUUAUACUCAGAAGACUCUUUGCAGUCAAUAAUAUCUCGUGGGAACAUCUUGUCAGGGAGUUUGACACUUGAGGAAAAGGAAGGAUGGAAGUAG
rnacentral:lncRNA from 1 species